ACAUAUUUGGAUAGUUAGCAUUAGCUACCAUUGAAUGUACCGGGUAUAUUAUAUCAGAACAACAACAUGACUGCAAAAUUGUGCCUUUGCUUCUCUUGGACUUGGACGUGUUGACGAGACAUGCAUUAUUUUCAUUACCCGUGAGUUCAUGCAGGAGAUUGCAGUACCGCUAUGAGCCACAAGAGAGAGACAGACUGCGAUGUCAAUGGUCAGAGCAAAAGCUUCCUCCAAAGUCUCGAUACUGCAAGAACUUAAUCGCCAUGAUCAUGGAACCGCAAAGAAGCUGAAUAUAUGGAGGAUGAAGGAUGAACUGCUGCUUAUAGAGGCCAGCCCAAAGGAAGGGUGAAACGGAAGCCGAGACAGUGAGGGUCGGCGUGACUUGACGCUGUAAAUGUGGAACUUGAAGCCAAGCUAUUUCGACGUAAGUAGAGUGCUUACCCAAACAAACCGGAAACAAAUGUCCCCGGCCAGCUGGACCAAACGAACAACUGUCCAUCGAGUAAGUCACUUUAAUAUUGAUUUUGAUACAUGCAGUACAUCAUGCGUGUUAUUCCAACUACAUACACUGUCGAGCUAGCUGUGUACAACCAAAACAUGACAUGUGGGCUAAUACUUUACAGAUACUGUAAUAUGAUUGUUCAUGUUUUUCAGUCAGUACAGAUUGGUGUCCUAUCACAUUGUGUUGUGCAUUACAAACUCAAACGCGUUUCGUACUGACGCAGUUGCUAGCUUAUCUCUUGCCGUAGCUAGCUUUUACGGCUAAUGCCGAAGCAUGUCAAUGUGUUGGUACGCUAGAACAGUGGUUUUCAACCUUUUUUCAGUGAUGUGAACAUUUUUUUAAUUCAAGUACCCCCUAAUCAGAGCAAAGCAUUUUUGGUUGAAAAAAAAGAGAUAAAGAAGUAAAAUACAGCACUAUGUCAUCAGUUUCUGAUUUAUUAAAUUGUAUAACAGUGCAAAAUAUUGCUCAUUUAUAGUGGUCUUUCUUGAACUAUUUGAAAAAAAAAGAUAUACAAAUAACUAAAAACUUGUUGAAAAAUAAACGAGUGAUUCAAUUAUAAAUAAAGAUUUCUACACAUAGAAGUAAUCAUCAACUUA